AUUGAACGCUGGCGGAAUGCUUUACACAUGCAAGUCGAGCGGCAGCGCGGGGCAACCUGGCGGCGAGCGGCGAACGGGUGAGUAAUGCAUCGGAACAUGUCCAUGUCGUGGGGGAUAGCCCGGCGAAAGCCGGAUUAAUACCGCAUACACCCGAGAGGGGAAAGUGGGGGACCGCAAGGCCUCACGCGAUUGGGUUGGCCGAUGUCCGAUUAGCUAGGUGGCGGGGUAAGAGCCCACCAAGGCGAUGAUCGGUAGCUGGUCUGAGAGGAUGAUCAGCCACACUGGGACUGAGACACGGCCCAGACUCCUACGGGAGGCAGCAGUGGUGAAUUUUGGACAAUGGGGGCAACCCUGAUCCAGCCAUUCCGCGUGAGUGAAGAAGGCCUUCGGGUUGUGAAGCUCUUUUGUCCGGAACGAAACGGUUACGGUGAAUACCCGUGACUACUGACGGUACCGGAAGAAUAAGCACCGGCUAACUACGUGCCAGCCGCCGCAGUAAAAC
rnacentral:rRNA from 1 species